UACGUAGGGGGCAAGCGUUGUCCGGAAUCAUUGGGCGUAAAGAGCGUGUAGGCGGCCCGGUAAGUCCGCUGUGAAAGUCCAGGGCUCAACCCUGGGAUGCCGGUGGAUACUGUCGGGCUCGAGUCCGGAAGAGGAGUGUGGAAUUCCUGGUGUAGCGGUGAAAUGCGCAGAUAUCGGGAGGAACACCGGUGGCGAAGGCGGUUCUCUGGGCCUGUACUGACGCUGAGGAGCGAAAGCGUGGGGAGCGAACAGG
rnacentral:rRNA from 1 species